GGGACAACCCGCCGAAAGGCGGGCUAAACCCGCGUACAUGCCACCGGGGCAUCCCGGAGGCAGGAAAGGCUUCGGCCGGACAGGGAUGGGCAUGCGGCGCAUUAGGCAGUAGGCGGGGUAACGGCCCACCUAACCGACGAUGCGUAGGGGUUCUGAGAGGAAGGUCCCCCACACUGGUACUGAGACACGGACCAGACUCCUACGGGAGGCAGCAGUGAGGAAUAUUGGUCAAUGGUCGGGAGACUGAACCAGCCAAGCCGCGUGAGGGAUGAAGGUACGGAGUAUCGUAAACCUCUUUUGUCAGGGAACAAAGGCGGGGACGUGUCCCCGGAUGAGUGUACCUGAAGAAAAAGCAUCGGCUAACUCCGUGCCAGCAGCCGCGGUAAUACGGAGGAUGCGAGCGUUAUCCGGAUUUAUUGGGUUUAAAGGGUGCGCAGGCGGUCUGUUAAGUCAGCGGUCAAAGCCCGGGGCUCAACCCCGGCCCGCCGUUGAAACUGGCAGUCUCGAGUUGGAGAGAAGUAUGCGGAAUGCGCGGUGUAGCGGUGAAAUGCAUAGAUAUCGCGCAGAACUCCGAUUGCGAAGGCAGCAUGCCGGCUCCACACUGACGCUGAGGCACGAAAGCGUGGGUAUCGAACAGGAUUAGAUACCCUGGUAGUCCACGCAGUAAAC
rnacentral:rRNA from 1 species